rnacentral:lncRNA from 1 species
CCUUCCGGCGGGCGCUGCCGGAACCCGUGGAGCGGAGCGGGCGGCCGGGGUUGGGACGCUGUUUCGCCCUCGCUGCUGUUGCCGCCCGCGCUCCCGCUGCCGGUCCCUCUUCCCUCCCGUCCCGUCCCCUCAUGGCGGUGGAGCGCGCGGGCACCGGCCCCUCCCGUCGCCCGCUCCGGCCUCCCCCGCCCCCGUCUCCUCCUCUUAGUUCGCCGCUGCUUGCGGGGAUGUGAGGGGGCCGUGACCGCAGAAACCUAACCUCGAAAUAUUUAAGAAGCGAAUGCCUCUGGAUUUUGGAACAAAAUUGCCUCACUGGAUGCAGGUAGGAGGAUCUGUGUUCAGUUUUAACAUUAACCUACUUGUAGCUCUCUGCUAGGUUUUUCCUAGGGGUAUAGAAAAUUAAUCAAAAUUGGAAGCACAAAAAUACAGGGAAAAGUAGUGCUGAAAGAAGGCAGGUUUUGAAGAAACAGGUGCUUCAUACAGGUAUGGGAAACUCUGUAAUAUAAAUCAACAAACAAAUGCCUUAUUUCUUGCCAGAUUUUCCUGGUUGUUAAAGAAUAAUUGCAUGUGCAUGCAUGUCAGGCUUGUUUGUGUUAUGGAGAUGACUAUAUGAUUAAACACCCUUCUAAU